AAAAAUAUGUAAAGCUGAGCAAAUCAUUCCAAGUCUCAACUGCUCUUGAUCAUUUCAAUUCCAAGAAUCAUCCAAAACUUCAACUCCAAGAUGUACAAGUUGGUCGUCCUCCUUGCCUUCGUCGCCAUUAUCGGCAUGGCUUUCGCCAACCCAAUGCCAGACCCUGACCCAGCUGUUAUCUACCCAGGUUACGCUUCAUACGGAUACGCCGCACCGGUCGUCUCAUCUUAUGGUGGCUACUACCCAGCCUACUCUGGCGCUUAUCUUCUUAAAAAGUAGAUAUGAUUUAAAUCCUAUCUCCACACCCACCACUCUUCAAAACUGGAUUCUAACAUUGGUCUAAAAUUACUUAUCGUCAACUUUCAAUUCGAUUCUGAAUCUUGACAUUUGUCGUUGUUGCAAAGUCUAAUAAAAUUGUGAUACUUUCGCACAUA